rnacentral:rRNA from 1 species
GACAGAGGGAGCCAAGCGUUGUCCGGAUUGACUGGGCGUAAAGCGCACGCAGGCGGUGCGGCACGUGGGGUGUGAAAGCGGCCCGCUUAACGGGUCGGAGGCCAUCCCCAUACGGCCACACUCGAGAGUGGCAGAGGUUCGUGGAAUUGCCGGUGUAGUGGUGAAAUGCGUAGAGAUCGGCAGGAACACCAGGGGGAAACCAGCGAACUGGGCCAUUUGCGUGACGCUCAGGUG